rnacentral:rRNA from 1 species
UUGUUCGGAAUUACUGGGCGUAAAGGGCUCGUAGGCGGCCAACUCAGUCAGACGUGAAAUCCCUCGGCUUAACCGGGGAACGGCAUCUGAUACUGGAUGGCUGGAGUUCGGGAGAGGGAUGCGGAAUUCCAGGUGUAGCGGUGAAAUGUGUAGAGAUCGGGAGGAACACCGGUGGCGAAGGCGGGUCUCUGGGCAUUUCCUGACGCUGAGGCGCGAAAGCGUGGGGAGCAAACGGG